rnacentral:pre_miRNA from 1 species
GGCCUCUGCCUGUCCCGGGGGGAGGCCGGAUCCUGGGCUGUGUCCCGGUGCCCUGUGCUCUAGGGCCUGCGCUGUUGGAUUCAUGCUCCCGGCCGCGCAGCCCCCUCCGGAGCCGCCGCCC